GGCCCCCUCGGCAGCGCCGGGCCCGCGAGGCCGCCCUCGGAGCGCCGCCAGGUGACGUUUGGAUUUGGGGGGGUUGCGUUUGGAGACUUUCAGAAGAAUCCUCCUUACGUGGGAAGUCGGAGAUCUGGCCUCCACGCGGUGGGGAAAAAUCCCCCAUGGAGUGAAUUUAUUUCUUACCGUUUCGGGGAAGAUCGAAAAUUAAGGAGUUCGAUGGUCAAAGGGGGUUUGAGUGUCCUUUUCUCCCGCGUAAGUUAGAACAAAGGGCCGAGGCAAAAGGGCACAAUGGGGUGGGGGCUCCAAUGGAGCACGCAGUGGAAAGUUCCCGCGCACCCCCGAAUGCUCUCCACGCAGUUUGGGCUGGAAAGAAGAGGAGCCCCCGCCCAGAGUGCGUUCUGUCCCAGUGCCCAGCCCCCCGAGACCUGCCCCGCUCGUCCCAAGUCGUGGUUACCGGGCCGGGGAGAGGGGCUCCGAGAGCAGGAAGGGCCCCCCUCCCCUGGGGGUACAGCGCGCAGUUUCGGUUUCCAUCUUCCAGGGCCGAGACGAGGAGUGCGCGGCGCCCGGAGCUGCGCGCGUCCCCGCUCGCCCCGCGUGGCGCUCGGACGCAGACCCGCUUCCACCAAAGACCUGGACCUCCCUUCUUUCGAAAUAAACUCAACGAGCCAUGAAGGCUCCGGGUCUCCCUAGAAAAGGCGCCGAAGAUUUACGGUCUGCCGAAUUCCCCACGCUCUAAUUAUACACCCAUUUUUUAGUUGGCGUAUGGGUGGUGACCACUAAAAUUUUCCAUUUUGGAAUAAAGAAAAAACAAACCACGAA